GGAGUGGGCCGAGCGUCCGCUGCGGCGGGCGUGUUGCGGCUUCGGCUGCGAUGCGAUCCGCCGGGGAGGAAAGUCCGGGCUCCACAGAACACGGUGGUGGAUAACGUCCACCGUCCGCGAGGACCGGGAAAGUGCCACAGAAAACAGACCGCCGAUGGCCCUCGCAAGAGGGAUCAGGUAAGGGUGAAACGGUGCGGUAAGAGCGCACCGCGGCUUUGGCGACAAAGCUGGCAUGGCAAACCCCACCGGGAGCAAGACCAAGCAGGGUGGAGGAGCUGUUCGCUCCGUUUGACACCCGGGUGUGUCGCAUCGAGGCGCUGAGGCAACUCACGUCCCAGAGAAAUGGACGCUCCAGACAGAACCCGGCUUAUAGGCCCACUCCGGUU
rnacentral:RNase_P_RNA from 2 species